CCUACGGGGGGCUGCAGCUAAGAAUCUUCCGCAAUGGGGGAAAACCUGACGGAGCGACGCCGCGUGGACGAUGAAGGCCGUAAGGUUGUAAAGUCCUUUUAUUGGUGAAGAAUGAGGGGGGGAGUGGAAAGCCCUCCUGAUGACGUUAGCCGAUGAAUAAGCCCCGGCCAAUUACGUGCCAGCAGCCGCGGUAAUACGUAUGGGGCAAGCGUUGUUCGGAGUUAUUGGGCGUAAAGGGCGUGUAGGCGGCGAAAAUGCAGGGCUCAACCCUGCAAUUGCGCUGGAAACUGGUGGGCUGGAGGCCCUGAGGGGAAGCUGGAAUUCCAGGUGUAGGGGUGAAAUCUGUAGAGAUCUGGAAGAACACCGGUGGCGAAGGCGAGCUUCUAUCAGAGGACUGACGCUGAGGCGCGAAAGCGUGGGGAGCAAACAGGAUUAGAUACCCUAGUAGUC
rnacentral:rRNA from 1 species